rnacentral:rRNA from 1 species
UAAUACGAAGGGGGCAAGCGUUGUCCGGAUUUAUUGGGCGUAAAGAGCGUGUAGGCGGCUAGAUAGGUCCGUUGUGAAAACUCGAGGCUCAACCUCGAGACGUCGAUGGAAACCAUCUGGCUAGAGUCCGGAAGAGGAGAGUGGAAUUCCUGGUGUAGCGGUGAAAUGCGCAGAUAUCAGGAAGAACACCCGUGGCGAAGGCGGCUCUCUGGUACGUGACUGACGCUGAGACGCGAAAGCGUGGGGAGCAAACAGGAUUAGAUACCCUGGUAGUCCACGCCGUAAACGAUGGAUGCUAGCCGUUGGGGGGUUUACCCUUCAGUGGCGCAGCUAACGCAUUAAGCAUCCCGCCUGGGGAGUACGGUCGCAAGAUUA